rnacentral:rRNA from 1 species
AUGGAGGCCCCGCCUGCGCUUGGCCGUAGUGGUGUACCAACGCAGCAAGGUAUCUCUUCCCCUGCCCCCGUAUCUUCCUUCCGUCCCUCCCUCCCUGCUGUUAGUUCUGCCGGCGGCGGACCAACUGCUCGUUGCAGCACCUUCACAUAUAUAUAUCCAGUUAGGAUAUUGAGAUGUGGACCUCCUCCGAUGAAGAAAGCCAUGGCUGCAAACCUAGAUGACCUUGGGUACAUCAAGGAGAUGCAGUUCCAGUUCUAA